rnacentral:rRNA from 1 species
CAGCCGCCGCGGUAAUACGAAGGGGGCUAGCGUUGUUCGGAAUCACUGGGCGUAAAGGGUGCGCAGGCUGGUUCUUAAGUCAGGGGUGAAAUCCCGAGGCUCAACCUCGGAACGGCCUUCGAUACUGGGGAUCUUGAGUCCGGAAGAGGUGAGUGGAACUGCGAGUGUAGAGGUGAAAUUCGUAGAUAUUCGCAAGAACACCGGUGGCGAAGGCGGCUCACUGGUCCGGAACUGACGCUGAGGCACGACAGCGUGGGGAGCAAACAGGAUUAGAUACCCCCGUAGUCCCUGUCUCUUAUAC